rnacentral:lncRNA from 1 species
UAAAACACAUAAACACAAAAUACACACAACACACGCAUAUCACACCACACACAUCAGAUCGCCUCUCUCUCCUUUUUCUCACCAAUCUAUUGUCGCCGAAGUUGAAUGUCGGACAACCAGGCUUUGACCCCCAGGCACCAACCAGUGCCGUCUCCUUCCUUCCUCAUCGAUCUGCCAUCACUGGAGUUAAAAUCUGGACGAUCGAAAUCUCUCCCUCCUCCACAGCUUCACUGCUGGCUAAUCGGAGGUGAUGACCAGUGAGUCUCCAGCCGUACUACCGCCGCUCGUCCUCUCCUCUUGCCCCAAUAUUUUGUUAUUUGUUGUUUUGUGCAUAAAUGGUUACCAUUACUUUGAAUUUUUUCCUUUUAUUAAUGAACUGGGUUUACACGUCACCAUUUGAUUCAUACAGAUCUGGCCAAAUUUUUUAUUAUCCGGUGUUACUUUGGCAAAUGCCGUUGAAGCAACGUUGUUGUGCCGCUGCCACCGUACCCUUACCAUCACUAUUUUGAUUUUUUUUUCUGCAUCUUUUUUUUUGUUAGUUAUUGUGGUCGUGAAUAUUAUGUUGCUCCUGUGAAUCCAUUGUUUCCUUAUCUGCUUAUUAUUAUUACUCAUAAAAAAUACUCCAUUAAAAUGUGCUUGCUGGUUUAUGUGAUUUGGAUGGACCGAAUUUGUUUUCAGUGGUUUGGUUUGUUCCCUUAAAGAACAGUGUUCCAGUGAGCUCUUGGGUUGUGUUUGUGUAACAUUUUUCGAUACUAUUCUUCUUGUGGACAGAUUUAAUAUUUUUUAGUCUCAAUUAUAACCUAUUUUACUACAAAUUCUGCCGUCUCGGAGUUAUUUAUUUUUUCACCGACAACAAAUAAAGGCCGACACUCGGCCAAUGAAAUUAUAGCUCCAUCAGAUACUUGAGGCCACCUUGUAACAAAAGACGAAUUUUAUUUUUCUCAAAUUUGUUAUAUGAAGUGUCAAUACUUGACCAAUGAUAUUAUUUUUUCGUCGGAUUUUUGAGGUCAUUCCAUUACAAAAACGGACUUUACUUUUCUAAAAUAUUAUUUUACAUCAAGGGCUAACACAUGGCUAAUGAAGAAACCCCCGUUAGUUUUCGAGGCCUUCCCAAAUAAAAGACGGACAUUACAUAUACAAAUACGUAACAAAAAAUAAAUAUUUUUGGGCGAUGACGAAAUCUUUAUAAUAUUUUAAAACUUUAUCUGAGCCCACAUUUUAACAAAAAUUAUAUUUUUAAAUAUGUAUAUGCACA